rnacentral:lncRNA from 15 species
UUGCAAAUUACAUGACAAAUUAAAAUGCUGCAUUCACGGUGUCCCCAGUGUUAAAAGGUGUGCAAUAGAUUUGCUUAUUACCCAGCUCUAACUGCUUGAUUCCACCGGGCAUCAAGUUCGGGCUGUGACGCAGUUGAUGGAACUAAAGCGUAAUGACCAAACCAACAUUAUCGAGGACCGAACAAAACAGCGUUGUGCCUGGUGGAAUCAAGGUGUAAUGUUGAGUUUGUGCUCUGACUGUUUCCAAGAAGUGUUGAUUCAACUUCAUUUUGGAGGCGGUGCUCCCGUUGAAUUAUUGUGUGAGAUGCUUAUAAUAUGAGUGGAGAUUGGAGAUAUCUUAUUGACAAAGCAACAGAGAAGAGUAGCUGUUCACCUGUCCCACCUCAGCUCCUUUGGAGUAGACAGACUCAUGUUUUCACCUCCCGUCUCCUUAGUGUUGCUGACGUUGAGCAGCAGCUUGUUCUCUGAGCCGCAGUCUAUCUCUCCAUAUGAAGUCUCCUGGCUGUGUGUAAUGGGGGCCAUGAUGAUGUCAGUAGGAGGUAGAUCUGAUGUGGCGUCCCUGAUGUUUGUGGACUCUGACAGUGAAGUGAUGAUGAAAUGACAGCAUCCUCACAUCAAAUGGACUGAUGAAGGACAAUCAGCAGCAUCUUCUAUCUGUGUUUCCUCUACAGCUGAAGCUACAAAGUCUCUGUGACUGGAUGUGAACUCAGCAGCUGAGCCUCUCCCAGCAGGUGUGGACUCUGCUAUGGUUAUUAGAUAAGAAAGACCCAACAAAUGAUUAAUCAAUCAACUAAUAUGAGACAGCAUCUUUAAUCAGAUUACAUUACUUUACGUUACUCAUCCACUGUCUUCUUACUGAUUUUCUAUCUAAGUUUAAACUCUUUCAUUAGUCAGUUGUUUGUUUGAAUCAGGAUGCAGAGACCAGACGCUCCUGAACCCAGCUGUGUGUCGAUGAAGAGUGACCAGUCUGUGGAUCGCUUUGAUGAGUUUAAAGUCAGACAAACUGAUGGAAGGAUGCAGCAGCGGAGACCAGACGCUCCUGAACCCAGCUGUGUGUCGAUGAAGAGUGACCAGUCUGUGGAUCGCUUUGAUGAGUUUAAAGUCAGAAAACCUGCUGAUAGAAGGUAAGAAUAUAAAACUGAAGUUUGUUACUAUAUGAUUCUCCUGAGAAGAAGAAUCAUG